GAAUAAAAUAAGUAAUUCAAUUAGGCACAACAUUAGUAGUAACAUUAAUUAACCACCCCAUUACAAGAAUAUUAAUUAACAAGAUCAUAAUUGUCCAUCUAAUACAAGUAGACCAAGAACAAUUAAAAUUAAUCAUGUAUAGAAUCCAUUUAGCUGUUAGCUUUCUUCAAAAACCCUAACUUUUUCAUGUACCAAAUUCACAAUUAUUUGGUUCUCACACGAUGUUCAGUACUUGAUUAAUUUGAAUUCCUACCGAAAAGUAUUGUUGGGAGUAAAACCUCCCGAUCGAGGUACUUUCGUUCUAUUUUACUAUAUAGCAGUUUUGAAUCUGCCGUUCGCUCUUUUGCAAGUGCUCGUCUAGCUCCCGCUCCUUGAUCUCUUCUUUUUGUUUUUAACCGUAUCCCUUCGUUCAACCCUAUGGGUUUUUUUUCCACUAUAGUGAUAUUUCUUUGCUACUUCUUUUCUCGGCUAAUGGAAAAAAAAUCUUCUUUUUACCCUGCCAAGCGCCAUUCAUUUCCAAAUAGUAAACGUGUUGCUGAACUCAGCGCUCCUUACCAAAGACGACUUCAUCUUUUUUUUAUACAGUAAUUAACAUCAUCGAAAUUCAAAACACCAGCAUGAUUUUUGGUCUAUCACACUUUGAAACUUCUUCCAAUAAACUUUAAGCUUUGCAUGUUUAUGAAUAUCCAUGUAUAUAUAUAUACAACCUACUGCAAAAAAAAAAAAAAAAGAAAAGGAAAUUCAGUACCAAUUAAUUUAUGGAACCUAUUAACUAAUAUGCAAAGUAAAUAAAACAAAGAAAAGAACUCACAUAUAUAAAUAUCACAUAGAGAAAAAACAUACUACAAGGUAAGCUUGACCUUCUUCCAAUAAACUUUAAGCUUUGCAUGUUUAUGAAUAUCCAUGUAUAUAUAUAUACAACCUACUGCAAAAAAAAAAAAAAAAAAAAGGAAAUUCAGUACCAAUUAAUUUAUGGAACCUAUUAACUAAUAUGCAAAGUAAAUAAAACAAAGAAAAGAACUCACAAAUAUAAAUAUCACAUAGAGAAAAAACAUACUACAAGGUAAGCUUGAGUACAUUUACUUCUUUUAAUCUAUAAAGGCAGCUCGGUGCAUUAAAACUUUCAUUAUGCACAGAGUUCAAGAAAUUAAUUAGAACCCAAUCACAAGGGUCUAUUGCGCGGAGCUUUAC
rnacentral:lncRNA from 1 species